GCCUCUGUGGCGCAAUUGGUUAGCGCAUACGACUUGUAAUCGUAAGGCUGCGGUUUCGACUACCGCCAGAGGUU
rnacentral:tRNA from 2 species